UACGUAGGGUGCAAGCGUUGUCCGGAAUUAUUGGGCGUAAAGGGUGCGUAGGCGGCCGGGUAAGUCUGAUGUGAAAUCUCACAGCUUAACUGUGAAACUGCAUUGGAUACUAUCCGGCUCGAGGAAUGGAGGGGAGACUGGAAUACUUGGUGUAGCAGUGAAAUGCGUAGAUAUCAAGUGGAACACCAGUGGCGAAGGCGAGUCUCUGGACAUUUCCUGACGCUGAGGCACGAAAGCCAGGGGAGCAAACGGG
rnacentral:rRNA from 1 species